rnacentral:ncRNA from 1 species
UAUAGGGAAUGAGGUUCUCCCCCGGCACUGCCGAAACCGCAUGAAUUGCUGAUGACUUCUGCUUC